UACGUAGGGACCGAGCGUUGUCCGGAAUCACUGGGCGUAAAGGGCGUGUAGGCGGCCCGCUAAGUCUGAUGUGAAAGCCCGGGGCUCACCCCCGGAAGUGCAUUGGAAACUGGCGGACUCGAGUCCCGGAGAGGAGAGUGGAAUUCCUGGUGUAGCGGUGAAAUGCGUAGAUAUCAGGAGGAACACCGGUGGCGAAGGCGGCUCUCUGGACGGUGACUGACGCUGAGACGCGAAAGCGUGGGGAGCAAACAGG
rnacentral:rRNA from 1 species